rnacentral:rRNA from 1 species
ACCGCCAGCUAAGGUCCCAAAGUCAUGGUUAAGUGGGAAACGAUGUGGGAAGGCCCAGACAGCCAGGAUGUUGGCUUAGAAGCAGCCAUCAUUUAAAGAAAGCGUAAUAGCUCACUGGUCGAGUCGGCCUGCGCGGAAGAUGUAACGGGGCUAAACCAUGCACCGAAGCUGCGGCAGCGACGCUUAUGCGUUGUUGGGUAGGGGAGCGUUCUGUAAGCCUGUGAAGGUGUGCUGUGAGGUAUGCUGGAGGUAUCAGAAGUGCGAAUGCUGACAUAAGUAACGAUAAAGCGGGUGAAAAGCCCGCUCGCCGGAAGACCAAGGGUUCCUGUCCAACGUUAAUCGGGGCAGGGUGAGUCGACCCCUAAGGCGAGGCCGAAAGGCGUAGUCGAUGGGAAACAGGUUAAUAUUCCUGUACUUGGUGUUACUGCGAAGGGGGGACGGAGAAGGCUAUGUUGGCCGGGCGACGGUUGUCCCGGUUUAAGCGUGUAGGCUGGUUUUCCAGGCAAAUCCGGAAAAUCAAGGCCGAGGCGUGAUGACGAGGCACUACGGUGCUGAAGCAACAAAUGCCCUGCUUCCAGGAAAAGCCUCUAAGCAUCAGGUAACAUCAAAUCGUACCCCAAACCGACACAGGUGGUCAGGUAGAGAAUACCAAGGCGCUUGAGAGAACUCGGGUGAAGGAACUAGGCAAAAUGGUGCCGUAACUUCGGGAGAAGGCACGCUGAUACGUAGGUGAAGCGACUUGCUCGUGGAGCUGAAAUCAGUCGAAGAUACCAGCUGGCUGCAACUGUUUAUUAAAAACACAGCACUGUGCAAACACGAAAGUGGACGUAUACGGUGUGACGCCUGCCCGGUGCCGGAAGGUUAAUUGAUGGGGUUAGCGCAAGCGAAGCUCUUGAUCGAAGCCCCGGUAAACGGCGGCCGUAACUAUAACGGUCCUAAGGUAGCGAAAUUCCUUGUCGGGUAAGUUCCGACCUGCACGAAUGGCGUAAUGAUGGCCAGGCUGUCUCCACCCGAGACUCAGUGAAAUUGAACUCGCUGUGAAGAUGCAGUGUACCCGCGGCAAGACGGAAAGACCCCGUGAACCUUUACUAUAGCUUGACACUGAACAUUGAGCCUUGAUGUGUAGGAUAGGUGGGAGGCUUUGAAGUGUGGACGCCAGUCUGCAUGGAGCCGACCUUGAAAUACCACCCUUUAAUGUUUGAUGUUCUAACGUGGACCCGUGAUCCGGGUUGCGGACAGUGUCUGGUGGGUAGUUUGACUGGGGCGGUCUCCUCCUAAAGAGUAACGGAGGAGCACGAAGGUUGGCUAAUCCUGGUCGGACAUCAGGAGGUUAGUGCAAUGGCAUAAGCCAGCUUGACUGCGAGCGUGACGGCGCGAGCAGGUGCGAAAGCAGGUCAUAGUGAUCCGGUGGUUCUGAAUGGAAGGGCCAUCGCUCAACGGAUAAAAGGUACUCCGGGGAUAACAGGCUGAUACCGCCCAAGAGUUCAUAUCGACGGCGGUGUUUGGCACCUCGAUGUCGGCUCAUCACAUCCUGGGGCUGAAGUAGGUCCCAAGGGUAUGGCUGUUCGCCAUUUAAAGUGGUACGCGAGCUGGGUUUAGAACGUCGUGAGACAGUUCGGUCCCUAUCUGCCGUGGGCGCUGGAGAACUGAGGGGGGCUGCUCCUAGUACGAGAGGACCGGAGUGGACGCAUCACUGGUGUUCGGGUUGUCAUGCCAAUGGCACUGCCCGGUAGCUAAAUGCGGAAGAGAUAAGUGCUGAAAGCAUCUAAGCACGAAACU